rnacentral:rRNA from 1 species
CUCAGUUCGGAUUGGAGUCUGNAACCCGACUCCAUGAAGCUGGAUUCGCUAGUAAUCGCGCAUCAGCCACGGCGCGGUGGAUACGUUCCCGGGCCUUGUACACACCGCCCGUCAAGCCAUGGAAGCCGGGAGUGCCUGAAGUACGCGACCGCAAGGAGCGUCCUAAGGUAAAGCCGGUGACUGGGGCUAAGUCGUAACAAGGUACC